rnacentral:tRNA from 1 species
GCUGUAGUAGCUCAGUUGGUAGAGCAGUUGAUUUGUAAUCUUCAGGUCCGCGGUUCGAGUCCGUGCUACAGCACCA